rnacentral:rRNA from 1 species
UACAUGUGGGGCAAGCGUUGUUCGGAAUUACUGGGCUUAAAGGGUUUGUAGGCGGCCAUGUAAGUCGGGUGUGAAAUCCCUCGGCUCAACCGAGGAAUGGCGCCCGAUACUGCAUGGCUUGAGGGAGACAGGGGUAAGCGGAACUGAUGGUGGAGCGGUGAAAUGCGUUGAUAUCAUCAGGAACACCGGUGGCGAAAGCGGCUUACUGGGUCUCAUCUGACGCUGAGGAACGAAAGCUAGGGGAGCGAACGGG